CAAGUUCCAGCCAUCUGAAGCAGCCAUCCUCAGGGAAAGGCCUAGAAGAAGUCUCUAGGGAAGUGCCGCCCACCCUCCGCCCCUCCCUGUGCACAGGGGCUGAGCUGGUAGCAGAUGGGCCUCCGGGGGCUCGGGAUCUUGGUUAAAGGCCUGGGAUGACCACCCUCCUACUCCAUCUCUAUGACAUCUAGAAGCUUCCAAGACCUGGCAAAAGGCCACCCCUCCACAAUGCUUCCCCGGAUACUGCCUGCUGGGAGCCCCUUCCUCCCCAGAAACACUUGGCAUAGCUCCACGGACACCCCUCCCACUCUUCCCCAGUCAGCCUGGGUGUUCUGUGGGGACACGGUGCCUGGGAUUUAUUUUCUUCCUCUUUUUCCUCUCCAAUCUCUUGUUUGCUCCUAAACCUAAAGUAGUGCUUGUUAUGGAGAUGGUAUUUAGUAAACGUUUGCUUAGAUGAAAUAAAUGUGUUCCUUCAGGGUCUA